AAAACUUUCAACAACGGAUCUCUUGGUUCUGGCAUCGAUGAAGAACGCAGCGAAAUGCGAUAAGUAAUGUGAAUUGCAGAAUUCAGUGAAUCAUCGAAUCUUUGAACGCACAUUGCGUCCCUCGGCAUUCCGGGGGGCAUGCCUGUUCGAGCGUCAUUA
rnacentral:rRNA from 1 species